rnacentral:rRNA from 1 species
UACGGGAGGCAGCAGUGGGGAAUAUUGCACAAUGGGCGCAAGCCUGAUGCAGCCAUGCCGCGUGUAUGAAAAAGGCCUUCGGGUUGUAAAGUACUUUCAGUCGUGAGGAAGGUGUUAAGGUUAAUAACCUUAGCAAUUGACGUUAGCGACAGAAGAAGCACCGGCUAACUCCGUGCCAGCAGCCGCGGUAAUACGGAGGGUGCGAGCGUUAAUCGGAAUUACUGGGCGUAAAGGGCACGCAGGCGGUUAAUUAAGUUGGAUGUGAAAUCCCCGGGCUUAACCUGGGAAUGGCAUUCAAGACUGGUUAGCUAGAGUCUUGUAGAGGGGGUAGAAUUCCAUGUGUAGCGGUGAAAUGCGUAGAGAUGUGGAGGAAUACCGGUGGCGAAGGCGGCCCCUGGACAAAGACUGACGCUCAUGUGUGAAAGCGUGGGGAGCAAACAGGGAUUAGAUACC